rnacentral:rRNA from 1 species
GAUGAACGCUAGCUACAGGCUUAACACAUGCAAGUCGAGGGGAAACGACAUCGAAAGCUUGCUUUUGAUGGGCGUCGACCGGCGCACGGGUGAGUAACGCGUAUCCAACCUGCCCAUCACUUGGGGAUAACCUUGCGAAAGUAAGACUAAUACCCAAUGAUAUCUCUAGAAGACAUCUGAAAGAGAUUAAAGAUUUAUCGGUGAUGGAUGGGGAUGCGUCUGAUUAGCUUGUUGGCGGGGUAACGGCCCACCAAGGCAACGAUCAGUAGGGGUUCUGAGAGGAAGGCCCCCACAUUGGAACUGAGACACGGUCCAAACUCCUACGGGAGGCAGCAGUGAGGAAUAUUGGUCAAUGGGCGAGAGCCUGAACCAGCCAAGUAGCGUGCAGGAAGACGGCCCUAUGGGUUGUAAACUGCUUUUAUAAGGGAAUAAAGUGAGAGUCGUGACUCUUUUUGUAUGUACCUUAUGAAUAAGGACCGGCUAAUUCCGUG